rnacentral:tRNA from 1 species
GGCUGGUUAGCUCAGUGGUUUGAGCGCGGUGCUGACAACAAUGACAACACCGAAGUCGUGGGUUCGAUUCCCGCUUGGUCU